AUUGAACGCUGGCGGCAUGCCUUACACAUGCAAGUCGAACGGUAACGGGCCUUCGGGUGCCGCCGAGUGGCGAACGGGUGAGUAAUACAUCGGAACGUGCCCGAUCGUGGGGGAUAACGAGGCGAAAGCUUUGCUAAUACCGCAUACGAUCUACGGAUGAAAGCAGGGGACCGCAAGGCCUUGCGCGGACGGAGCGGCCGAUGGCAGAUUAGGUAGUUGGUGGGAUAAAAGCUUACCAAGCCGACGAUCUGUAGCUGGUCUGAGAGGAUGAUCAGCCACACUGGGACUGAGACACGGCCCAGACUCCUACGGGAGGCAGCAGUGGGGAAUUUUGGACAAUGGGCGCAAGCCUGAUCCAGCCAUGCCGCGUGCAGGAUGAAGGCCUUCGGGUUGUAAACUGCUUUUGUACGGAACGAAAAGCCUUCUUUUAAUGCAGGAGGGUCAUGACGGUACCGUAAGAAUAAGCACCGGCUAACUACGUG
rnacentral:rRNA from 1 species